AAAGUAUUGAGCCAAUUGAAGAAAUAGGAGCAGAUGAACCAGUGGGUAAAUUAAAAGAAAGCAUGGAAGAACUAUGUGUUCGUGUGAAACGAGAAGAGUCGGAUGCAAUGUGAUAUGUCGCUCCACUAUCCAAAAUCCAUGUAUUAGAAGAUACAAAAUGUUGGAGAACAAUUUAGAAACAGAAAUAACAGAAAUACAGAACUUGAAAUAUUUAUACUUUAUUACUCAAAAAUACUUGCAAUACAGAAUGAUACACAACGACUACAGAAAAUUAAAUAUGAGAAUAUCAAAAGUACUAACUUGAUUACAGAAGGUAGAGGCUAGCGUAAAAGCUAUGUCCUUCGAACAGUAAUUCCGUCCCACUCUUGUGCUUGUGGUUCUACAACGUCUGCUCGACCAGGAUACAACUACCUAAUCCUACAACCCGCACUGGAUUAUAGAAUUCUAGCGAAUUGCUUUGUGUGUUUACUCUCUCUGGAAAGUUUGUACGGAAGAAAAGGAAGAAGAAAGGAUGAUUGAUGAUGAACUGAGGACUCCAGUUAUAUAGGCUCUUUCAUACCUUUUCAAAUACCUUUUGGAUGUAUCUGAAGCUUUACACUCUUUACAAAAGGUUGUAUCUUUAAUCAAAACGUUUUUAAUUAAUUUAAUUAAAAACUUAAUUCGAAAUUAAAACUAAUUGAUCAGAUUAAUUUUAAUUCUUAGGCCCCAAGUGCCCCCAAGGACCAAGGCCCUUGUCUUGAUUAAUUAAUAUUAAUUAAUAUUAAUAUUAUGGUAUAAUCAUCAAGCCCAAGCCUCAAUUCCCAUUCCAAGUGGUCCAACACAUAACUAAUAUUGUAGAAGACAAAAAGUAUAUAAAGGUACUUUGGAAUCUUGUUUUCACCAAUGUGGGACAAGAGUCUCAAAACUUCCAACACAAAAUUAAUUGAUGGAAACUCACAAAAGGCUAGACCUGCUGUAUUUGUAAAUGCAUUGCAAUUUUCUGAUUUUUGUAAUUUUACCAUGGAUAUAGCUACUAUAAGCUGUUGAAGUUGUUCUGGUGUGAGCCCAGCAAGCAAUUUGAAAAGAUGUGUCUGCUAAUCGGAGAUAGAAUUGGAGUUGAUGUUUAAAUUUUCUCUCAUUCCCAUGAUUAAAUUGUGAUUCAGGGCAAGGGAAAAAAAUGUCUUGCUCUUGAAAGGUUCAAAAGCACAUGAACACAAAAAGGAAAAUCAGGAGCCACCACAAAGGGGUUCUGAUACCAUCAUAAGAACCAAAGGUUUGGAAUUUUUGUGUAUUAUUGAUAUGAACGGGGAAGUAAAAUAUAUACAGAUAUUAUACAUGAUUAACUCCAUGAAAGAAGAAGUUGACUUCCUAACUAAGUAAAUAUAUAUACGGUAAAUAUACAACAAUCAAGGAUUUGAUUCAUAGAUUUCUCAACAAAAUAAACCUUAUAUAACGUUGAGAUUUUCUAGUGUUUUUGUAAACUCAGUUGAGUUAAACAUAUUUAUAAAAUGAUGAGCACAUCUAAUAAGAGUUACAUAACUGAAAACUGGGUUUUUCUACCAGUCAUGAUUAUGAAUGAUAAGAAGCCCAAGGGAUUAAUAAUUUGGAAUUGGAAGCGUGAAAUAAAAUUUGUUGUUCCUAGUCAAAUUAUAAAUCUUUGAACUCAUUUUUAGAUGAGUUAUCAUCAUCAUGGAAAACGAUGAAUGGACAGCAAGUGUGGGGAUAUUUCGUAAAGAGAAUGACGAAGCACUGAAAUUGAUGCUUAUUGAGUAAGCAUACACAAUUAAAUUAGACAUGAUGAUGCUUAUUAAGCAAGAAUAUAAAUGGACAUGUUAUGAAUUCAAUGAUGCUGGCUAAUUGAAUUUUGAUAAUGUGAAGUCAAAGUACAUGCAGGUGGAUGUGCAAAUGCAUAAUCUAUACUGGAAUUGAAGAUAGCCUUACAUAAGGCUAGAGAAGAUGUACUUUGUGAUAAUUUAGCCGAGUAAGGGCUAAACACGAUGUGCAAAUAAGAGUAAUUUGUUUCUUAAAAGAGAGAUAAUAUAUAAAUAGUUAUCUUUUAUAAUGAGUAACUUUAAGGUAUGAAGAGUUAGAGACCUUCCUACAAAUACCUUAAAUGUGGGGGAGUAUGCCCAAAUGUUAGCAAAUUACUUACUAAAGUCCCAACAUGUACAGUUGAGGACUUGACAUUGUAAAUCUUCUUCAUAUGAAAUAUAAUUUCAUAAGAUGGAUUGUGUGCACCAUUAAAGAUAGUCAACCUAAGUGGUACCAGUUAUUAAGGGACUGACUAGAGUAAGUUGAUCAUUGAGGGGAUGAGGCUAAGGCCAACGUAACUAAUAAAUCAGCCGGGCGGAAACCUAACUUAGUUGAUUAGAGAUCUCAUGGUCUAGGUUCAAUAGGCAAACUAGUUGGGCAUGAUUCAAAGAAGUUAACACACUAUAUACCUCAUUCCUAUGAUGGAAGAAAUGUGUUGUCUAUAGAAGUUUUAGGGUGUAUACUUAUACUUAAUGAUAGUGAUAUCUUUAUAAAUAAGAGGAAAAUAGCAGACUAUUCUUAAUCAGUGGUCACCUAUAUGAGAGUAGAAGUGGGUCGCUUCUAUGAGAAUGAGAUGGCUAAAUUCUCUAAAUCUCUCAUGAAUCCAAGAUUUGUUCAGGACCAAAAUGAACACAACCGUAUGAACCAUAAUAUAUUAGGAUAAGAGAUGUGUGUUGCUUAUUGUCUCGGUUUACUGCUGCUGUGAACAGUUCAAGAUCUUCCACAUCCACUGCGUCACCAAGUAAAUCUGGUAAGUAUUCAUUAGGGUAGGUUCAAGUCCAAAAGACACCUCUCCCAAUGCAUCUCUUGUUCACCUGUACUCUUAAAUUCUUCCUAAUUUUUCAUUCAUGUGGGGGAUUGUUGGAA
rnacentral:lncRNA from 1 species